GAGAUCUUAGUUUAAUGGUAAAAUUCUGGACUUUUAAUCUUUGUAAUGUGGGUUCGAAUCCCAUAGAUCUUA
rfam:Glarea lozoyensis 74030 mitochondrion, complete genome.